UACGUAGGGUGCAAGCGUUGUCCGGAAUUAUUGGGCGUAAAGAGCGUGUAGGCGGCCCGAUUACUCCGCUGUGAAAGUCCAGGGCUCAACCCUGGAAUGCCGGUGGAUACUGUCGGGCUAGAGUCCGGAAGGGGCGAGUGGAAUUCCUGGUGUAGCGGUGAAAUGCGCAGAUAUCAGGAGGAACACCAAUGGCGAAGGCAGCUCGCUGGGACGUUACUGACGCUGAGACGCGAAAGCGUGGGGAGCAAACAGG
rnacentral:rRNA from 1 species